AACAAAAGCAGUUUGACUUAAUAAAAUAGAUCAGAAUAAAACUGCCACAAAUCCAAUCCAAAAACGAUCAUAGAUAGAUGUCAAAUAAACGAUAUAAAAAGAAUCUCCGGCUAUGGAUUCAGCAAAACUAAUACAAGCUUGAAAAAUGUGCAUCUCAAAGUAGAAAAUAACAUUACAUAGCAACUUCUACUGAUACUCUGCAACUUAAAAUCAGUAUCACACCUAGGUGUUUGUAGCCCUGGUGUAAAUCUGCUGACUUGAAUGAGCAGACACCAACCUGAUUAAACCUUUAGCCAUCAAGUCUCUUAUUGCCCUCCUUGCAAGUGAUCCAUUAAUCUGCAUAGACCCACAAAAGACAUUCCAUUAUUGAUGAAUUUAAUUGAGAUAGAACAUUACAAAUAGUCACAUGCAUUUGGUAUUUGUAUUUGACUUGAGUGAAUGUGCAAGCAAACAAAGGUGUGCAUCACACUAGAAUGCUUAGUUAACAGAAUAUAAAACAUACCACAACAUUUUACAAUUAAAGUUUUUUACUUAAACCAAAUAAUACAUUAGGCCAAACUUACAAGCAACUGCAGAAACUUAGAAUGACAACUAAGACUGCACAAAAAUAAACUUACAAUGCACAAGGAGACUAAUGCAAAAACAUCACUAUAAAUGCAGAGGUGGUAAUAACAAAAUGAAAAUAAGAAAUCUAAGGCCUCAAUAACUUUAUUAAGACAUUUUCCAUUAUCAUUUAAAUUUGUGCAGAGAUCACUUGUGAAUAACUGCAAUUUUCGGAAACAGGGAAAAUGGCAUAAAAUUGUAAUCAUUAUAUCCAAAAUUGCAUCAUCCAUAGCUAACAUUUCAUCUUCUCUCUAUCAUAAUGGUUCGCUUCGAGAGACGCACAUUUUCAUAUUGGCAAAGCUAAAUUAAGUACAUAUUUUAGAAAAUGAAAAUAAAAAUGUUUAAACAAAAGCAAAUGAGGCCUAUAUUCUCAGAAACACCUGCAAAUACAUACUCUACUACAGACAUGAGAGUCUCUUGAAAUCUAAACAAAUACACAACAUCUGAGACUCUAACCAAUAUGUUCUGUGAUUUCUACACUCAAGCCACAUUUAGCACAGAAAUUCUGGUUAACAUAUCCAAAACAAUAUUAAACAGACCAAAAUGCGGAUAGAACAUAUAGGCUAAAAAGUGGAGCUGAAAACUAGUAAUGAAAAUCAUAGGUUCAAAAUACUAGCCACUUAAACAAUAUGACAGAAAUUAAGAGUCUCUUAAACAACUUAUCAGAAAAUACGAGCCGCUUUAACAAUACAAGAGAAUCAUUAUGUGUGGAAACCAAUUCCACCAAUACUAGGACUAAAAAAUUUAGAUGGAACAAGCAUCACUCGACUAGUCUUGAAAAAUGAUGAGCAUCAAGACAGGACAAAGCAAUAAAAACAGAAUAACCACUUUGACAGAUCCUAGGUUUAAAAGAUUUCCAAUGAUGCAGUAAAACUCUUACAUAAGACAGAAUGCUUUGCAACAUAAUAAUACACGCAUACAAUUAUUCAUCAUUAUCACAAAUCUAUCCACAACAUAAGAAAAGGCAGUAGUAAAAGAAUUACCCUCAAACGAUCAGAGAGGACAGAAGGAGUGAUGAGCUUGUAUUUGGGUGCUUCAGUUAGGAGCUUGUCAUAGGUACCCUGAUCAAACAGCACCAUGUUGUUCACCUUCUCCUUUUGCUUUCCCUUGCUCCACUUCUGUUAAAACACAAAAAAUGACCCUUAAUAUCACUCUACCAAAUCACAUUGUUUAAAUCAAAAAAAUUUGCAUCUUUAAUUUUUAAAUUAGCAUUAGAAAACAAAGAAUUUUCCUUCGGUUUCCAAAGAGAUUGUUUAAAAUUAAAAAGCAAUCAUUUUGCAAAAACUAACCUUUACCAGAAUGUAUAAAGGCCCUGUUUGGAUAAAACAGCUUAUAGCAUAAGCACUUAUUAAUUAUCAUGAUUUUGUAUAAUCUACUUAUAAAGGAUGUUUGGGUUUAUUCAUUUGAGCUUACCCACUAUCAUAACUUUGUGAGACUGCUUGGAAGAAUUUAUGAAAACAAUUUAUGACAACUUUCAAGAGCUUUUUUCAUCUUACUAUCAUAAGUUCUCCAAUAAAGACAACUUAUAGCAUACACACAAAAAAAAAAUUACCAUUUGCUAUAAAAAUAGCUGCUUAUACAUAAGUGAUUAUUACAAGUGCAUGUGAUAUGAGCUGUUGAUCCAAAAAGGCCAAAAAUCUAAUUUAACUGUUUUUGCAUGACCUAUUUAAAUAAGCUAUCUUGGAGAACUUCUGAAAAUGAGUUAAAAACAGCUUACGAAAAAUGUUAUAAGCUUAUGUAAGUAGAUAAACUCAAAUAAUUCAAUCCAAACAGACCCAUAUAAUUGAUUGACAGGAGCAGCAUCAAACAAUGAAUCAAAUCUCAAAAUUCAUUACUUAUAAAACAAAUCUAAGUAAUUCAGUAUUCAUUACUUAAAAAGGAGAAAAUCGAACCUUCUUCUUCUGUUUGCCACCGCCAGAUUUGGCUGGCUUGGAUGAAGGAGGAGGAGCUGCCUUCUUGGGUGCCUGCAAAAAAUAACCGACAAAAUGAAUUACAGAGAUGAGUAUUGAGAAGUGUAGAAAGAGAUGAAAUUGAACUGAUGAAGAGAAAGAUACACACCAUGAUUUCGGUUGAGAGGGAGGAGCAGGUCUGAGACGGAGGCGC
rnacentral:lncRNA from 1 species